GUGCUUGCUUCAGCAGCACAUACACUAAAAUUUGAACCAUACAGAGAAGAUUAGCAUGGCCCUUGUACAAGGAUGACAUGCAAAGUUGUGAAGCAUUCCAUAUUUUU